UACAGAGGUCUCAAGCGUUGUUCGGAUUCAUUGGGCGUAAAGGGUGCGUAGGCGGCGCGGUAAGUCGGGUGUGAAAUCUUGGAGCUUAACUCCGAAACUGCAUUCGAUACUGCCGUGCUUGAGGACUGGAGAGGAGAUUGGAAUUUACGGUGUAGCGGUGAAAUGCGUAGAUAUUGGGAAGAACACCGGUGGCGAAGGCGACCAUCUGGACGGAUACUGACGCUGAGACGCGAAAGCGUGGGGAGCAAACAGG
rnacentral:rRNA from 1 species